UACCAGAUUGAUUAAUAUUCUGAAACGGUAUAUGUUUUUCAUCCUUCUCUGUACACUCAAAAGUGAAUAUGAUAACUAGAUGCAUUUGCAUUUUGAACAAGGGCAGGACUGGAAGACAGUUCACCUUCCUCUAGUUGCUUUGAAUAAUCUGCAAAUUGGCUCAUUGUAGCAAAAGCAGUUAAUCGUUAGACUUCUGUUUACUCUUCCACAGACAUCUUGCCAAGUUUGUGCAAUUGGAAGAGCCUUGAAUGUUCAUGCAUAUGUGCUCUUUGAUUUCUUUGCUUCUUGCCUGCAUAUAUGUCAUCUCCAAUGAAGUUGAUAAAUUAGCAUGGAGAAAAAGCAUGGACUCAAUUCCCAUGGUUUCACUACCCCACAAAAAAUAAUCCCCUUCAAAAGUGUUGGUGG
rnacentral:lncRNA from 11 species